rnacentral:rRNA from 1 species
ACCUGCAGUCGACGCGAAAGGGGCUUCGGCCCUGAGUAGAGUGGCGAACGGGUGAGUAACACGUGGGUGACCUACCUUCGAAUGGGGGAUAACGUCCCGAAAGGGACGCUAAUACCGCAUAACAUCCCGUCUUUGAAGAGGUGGAGAUCAAAGCUGGGGAUCGCAAGACCUGGCGUUUGAAGAGGGGCCCGCGUCUGAUUAGCUAGUUGGUGAGGUAACGGCUCACCAAGGCAACGAUCAGUAUCCGGCCUGAGAGGGCGGACGGACACACUGGGACUGAGACACGGCCCAGACUCCUACGGGAGGCAGCAGUGGGGAAUUGUUCGCAAUGGGCGCAAGCCUGACGACGCAACGCCGCGUGGAGGAUGAAGGUCUUCGGAUUGUAAACUCCUGUUGCCCGGGACGAAAUGCUUCGACCUAACACGUCGAAGUUUGACGGUACCGGGUGAGGAAGCCCCGGCUAACUCUGUGCCAGCAGCCGCGGUAAUACAGAGGGGGCAAGCGUUGUUCGGAAUUACUGGGCGUAAAGGGCGCGUAGGCGGCCUUCUAAGUCGAACGUGAAAUCCCCGGGCUCAACCCGGGAACUGCGUCCGAUACUGGAAGGCUUGAAUCCGGGAGAGGGAUGCGGAAUUCCAGGUGUAGCGGUGAAAUGCGUANAUAUCUGGAGGAACACCGGUGGCGAAGGCGGCAUCCUGGACCGGCAUUGACGCUGAGGCGCGAAAGCCAGGGGAGCAAACGGGAUUAGAUACCCCGGUAGUCCUGGCCCUAAACGAUGAAUGCUUGGUGUGGCGGGGUAUCGAUCCCUGCCGUGCCGAACCUAACGCAUUAAGCAUUCCGCCUGGGGAGUACG